GUCUUGACGACUUCGGCGGUACAUAUAAUAAAAUUGGAAUGAUACAGAGAAGAUUAACAUGGCCCCUGCUCAAGGAUGACACGCGAAAUCGAUGACUUUCCGUCAGCUUCC
rnacentral:snRNA from 1 species